rnacentral:rRNA from 1 species
UACGUAGGGAGCAAGCGUUGUCCGGAAUUACUGGGCGUAAAGGGCGCGUAGGCGGGAAUGCAAGUCAGAUGUGAAAACUCCGGGCUCAACUUGGAGAUUGCAUUUGAAACUGUGUUUCUUGAGGGCAGGAGAGGAAAGUGGAAUUCCUAGUGUAGCGGUGAAAUGCGUAGAUAUUAGGAGGAACACCAGUGGCGAAGGCGACUUUCUGGACUGUACCUGACGCUGAGGCGCGAAAGCGUGGGUAGCAAACGGGAUUAGAUACCCCGGUAGUCCACGCCGUAAACGAUGAAUACUAGGUGUAGGAGGUAUCGACCCCUUCUGUGCCGCAGCUAACGCAAUAAGUAUUCCGCCUGGGGAGUACGAUCGCAAGAUUAAA